UCCAUCGUGGUUUGUUCUAUACAAACUGACAGCUGUAAUUGGAUCGCUUCUAUGUCUCCUCACUCCAGCUGUUUGCCUCAGCAGAAAAAGCUGGACCAAGACCCAAAACCAGGACCAGGACAGCAGGACCCUGAGUUGUGCCCAGUACCAGGCCCAGUUGGGAAGAGAGGUGGCUCCACUUCAGCCCCACAGCUGUGCAGAGUACAGGACAAAUCACCAGCAGAGGCAGUCAGUACUUCAGGAGGCUCAGUAUGAAACUGAGUGAGAAACAAGACACAUGCUGGACAUAGAGUGCAACAAUACUGUUUUUUAAACAUAAUUUUCUUUGUGUGUCAGUCUGGACAAGUUAUUAUGUGUAUCUUAACUCACUCAUGAUUGUGACUUCUGUGUUCCACAAUUAUGACGCGCUAUCUUAUUAGAGAAAAGGCUAUAUAAUAUGUGUUACACAGUAAACUGUGACUCAUCAGAUUCUGUGCGGCCAAAGCAACAUUUUUAUCAUACUUUAUCACAUGCUUUAUUUUGAUAGCCAGACAUGAUGCC